rfam:Canis lupus familiaris chromosome 11, whole genome shotgun sequence.
CAAAAGGCUUUUUAAAAAGCCAACUUCAAGUAUUUGAAAGUUUUGU